AAUCAUUAUCCAAACAUUAAGUCAUUGUAGGAAGGUUUACCUACCUAUCUGCCUACCUACCUGGCAAUAUAUAUACAAGCUUAGUUCUCAGAAGAAAAUGUAUUUUAUGCAGAAUAUUCUUUGAACGUAUACAGACGUAAAGUUGAUACGCUAUCAUAAGCACCAGCUUACGAGUACUUAUUCAAUUGUACCGUCAAAUUUUCAUCGAAAUCAAGUGAUCUUUGAAUUCCAUAAUAAUGUCGUCCGUGCUGAAAACUCUAUUUUUCGUAUUAUUAGUUGCUGUAUUUCAUAUUAUUGCUAUUAAAGAUGCGUUGGUUGAUGCUAACGGUGGUGAUGAUUUGGCGGAUGCAAUGAGCAAGCUCACUGUGGGUGAUAAAAAAUAAAUCAGAAUAUUCUUUGAACGUAAUACUGACGUAAAGUUGAUACGCUAUCAGAAGCACUACCUUACGAGCACUUAUUCAAUUAUACCUACAAAAUUUUUAUCGAGAUCCAGUGAUCACUGAAUUCCAUAAUAAUGUCGUCCGUGAAAACUCUAUUUUUCAUAUUAUUAGUUGCUGUACUUCAUAUUGUUGCUAUUAAAGACGCCUUGGUUAAUGCUAACGGUGGUGAUGAUCCUUUGGCGGAUGCAAUGGGCAAUCUUAGUGUGAAUGAUAAAAAAGAGUAAAUCAGAAACUACAAUUGUGGAAAAACACAGGAAAACUGUGUAAAAUAUAUCACAAAAUUUAAACGUUUCUUACCGGCAUAAAUAAAUGAAAAAUUAUA